AUUGGAAGUAAAAGUCGUAACAAGGUUUCCGUAGGUGAACCUGCGGAAGGAUCAUUAUUGAAUGAACUUGACUUGGUUGCUGCUGGUCUUUUCAAAGGCAUGUGCACACCUUGUCAUCUUUAUAUCUCCACCUGUGCACCUUUUGUAGACCUGGAUUCAACAUUCCGAGGCAACUCGGUCGUGAGGAAUUGCUUCACAGCUUUCCUUGUAAGUUUCCAGGCCUAUGUUUUUCAUAUACACCAUAAGAAUGUAACAGAAUGUCAUUAUUAGACUUCAUUGUCUUAUAAACUAUAUACAACUUUCAGCAACGGAUCUCUUGGCUCUCGCAUCGAUGAAGAACGCAGCGAAAUGCGAUAAGUAAUGUGAAUUGCAGAAUUCAGUGAAUCAUCGAAUCUUUGAACGCACCUUGCGCUCCUUGGUAUUCCGAGGAGCAUGCCUGUUUGAGUGUCAUUAAAUUCUCAACCUUAGUCAACUUUUUUGGUUGACCAAUGGCUUGGAUGUGGGGGUUUUGCAGGUUUCUCUUUUGAAAUCAGCUCCCCUGAAAUGUAUUAGCUGGUUGCGUUGUGUAGACCUGUCUAUUGGUGUGAUAAUUAUCUACGCCGUGGACUGUUUGCCAUUUUAGCACUGCUUCUAACUGUCUGUUCAUUCAGACGAUGUAUGACAAUUGACCUCAAAUCAGGUAG
rnacentral:rRNA from 1 species